CAGAUAUGUGCCCGUAACUAACUUGGUCCAAAGAAUGAGUUUACAUUGCAGCUGGACAAGCCCAUUCCUAGCACAACUCUUCUCCUAGCAAAGUAGAACAGAGUUUCACAAUAGUAUGGUAAAGCAAAGGUAGGGAAACUCCAGGCUUGUGGAACCUACAUUGCAGUAGUACCCUGUUUGCUGAGUGCCCUGCUACUUGGUUUGUUUGUUUACUAGAACCUUGAAAUGCACUGACCCAGAUCAGUGAAAGACAUGCAUUUAGCAUUAAAGAAUUCUGAGCCCCAAAAUUUAUUUGAGUAUCGGAACUCGAUGAAGCUCAUGGUUCUUCCAUUCCCCAUCUGACUUCACUUCAACCAUAAAAUUUCGGAAGAGGGAAUAUUUUGUUACUUCUAUCAUUAAGCAGUCCUUCCUAACUUACCAAGUCACCUGGAAAUCUACCCAUAGAUGGAGAGAUCUACGUUCUGCCCACGCUCGUCUGAGAGACAACUCUGCCUCCAUCCCAACAAACAAGCACAGAUUCCCUUCUGGAGCUUUCACUUUAUUUAUUUGUUUAAAUAUUUAAACGGAACAUUUUGAGCCCGCCCAAACAACCCAGCAACAAAACAGUGUAGGAGCCAUGUUGGUCCAUAAAGGGGGGGGGGGGAUCUAAAAUUACCAUACCUAAAUGUCAGUGUAGUUAUUAUGAGCAACCAAAUGUCACCAAAUACUGAAGACGCUUUCAGGUUAUCCUAGAUGGCUAGAUGUUAAACAAAGCAGUCAGAGGAGGGGAAAGGGGGAAAAACACACACAUUUGGCUUGAUGGUGAAGAUGCAAGGUCUGCAUUUAGUCACAGUCUGAAGAUGGAGUUCAGGAAGAGAUAGCAGAAGAAAUUGGAUUAGGCAGGCUUUACUCGGUGCUUUGCAGGUUUCAGGUUGUACCUAUGACUGCACAAACAAAGAAACAAGUAUUGGCUGAUAACCCUGGUUUUUUAAAAUAAUAAUAAUAAUAAAUAAACCCAUCAGUUACCUGGCUUUUUGUACCAUACCAUUCAAAGGCAAAUCACAACAUAAAAACUGGAUACAUUUUUUUUUUUAAAAAAACACAAUAACCCAGAGGUGGAAAGAAGACAUAGUCCCCACCAGAGAAGAAUGGCAGAUUAAAUUGAUGGAUUAUGCCGAAAUGACAAAAAUGAUCGGAAGAAUUAGAAACCAGGAAGACCUAAAUUUUAAUAAGGAAUGGGGAAAAUAUAUAAUUCACCUUAGAAAUCGUUGUAAACUAUUAAAAUUAUUAGUAGGAUUGGGAUGUUACUUGUAGUUGAAUGUUGAAUUAUGGUUGUAAUGGAGAUUUAAUAGGUGAUUUGGAUUAAUAGAGAAGAUGCAGGAGGAAAAAAGUUAACUUAAGUACCCACAAAGGGGAGGAGGGAAGUCCAGGUGAAUCUAUGAGAUUCUCUUUUUAUUUUGGUUGUUUGACAAUUGUUUGUAAAUUUCAAAAUCUGAAAAAUUAUUUUUUUAAAAAACAACAACCCACAAAAGUAUUUCUUUGUAUUUUUUAAAAGCAGCUUUAAAACCCUGUUUUAAAACCCAGAUAUUUCCUAUAAUAAAAUUGUAUUUGCUACUAGAAAUACAACAGCAAAGGGUGCUCUUUUGGGGGGAAAGGGAGUUCCUGAGAGUGGCAAAGGCCUUACUUAACCUGUCCUGCUGUAUCUCAGAUAGCGCAGGGCUCCUGAGCAGAGCGGCGGUAAUAGAACUGCGGUAUUGACAUCUUUUGCCAUGUCAGCCUUGCAGCUAGAGCCUGUUCCUGGAGUUCAUCUGUGGGCAUCAUGUGUUGUUUCCUUGCACUGCAGUCACCUAUCGGUUUAUUACCUGUAAUAAACAAGCCACUUACGUUUGACUAAUUAGAUCUAAGCCAGUAAAUGGCUUUGAUGCAAGUAUUCCCUCUUAAUUGAAUAAGUCUUCUAACAACACUCAAGUAGGGCAUGACUUUCUAAGGACUGUUUUGACUACCAUCGAACAACUUGCAGUGCCAGGCUAGAAUACAAACAGGAUAGCUGUGCAAAGUGAUGGCUAAUGGAAAUUUCCUUUCAUUUUAAACUUGGCAAUGCUCAGAUUUUAAUUCUCUUACAAUGUAGUCAUAUCUAUCUAUCCAGAAGUAAGUCACAGUGAGUUCAGCGGGGCUUAUUCCCAAGUAUAAGUGGGUACAGGAUUGCAGCCUUAAGGGUGUUAAUUAAAUGCCACCUUUGCCAGUAAGUAUAUGCUCUUCUCUAUCACUUCUGCAUUGCUUUUCCCAUUCCCUGUCCACCCAAAAACAACAACAUGGCAAUGAUGCACUGUUGAUCACAUUCUUGACAAUUCGCCCUUCUUUGGGAUCAAGAGAAGGAAAAAACCAUAGCGCAACAAACUCAAGCCCUGAUUGAUUGCAGCUCCUUGCUGUUUUCACGACUGGCUGGCUCCAUCCUGUUCUUACGUCACAUUGUUCUGACAGCCAGGGUGAUGUAGUGUUCGCUGCACUUGGAAGCAGGGAGAGAUCUGUGUUCAGGUCUUCACUUAACCAAACAAAGCUUACUGAACGCUGGGCCAAUUUCACACUCUCAGACCAAGCUGCAUCUCAGAAUUGAUGAAACAAGUAACCACUUGUUGCCUUUAAUACUUUGCGGAAAGGUGGAAUAU
rnacentral:lncRNA from 1 species